UCUGGGGAAUCAGCAUCCACAGGAGCGAGAGAUCACCAUCCCCGAAAGCGGCGGGGGGCGGGGUGAGCAGGUUGGCACCCCCUGUGACGAGGACCAGGCGACAGAGACUCCCGACCAGGAGGAGGGGGCUGGGGCCCUGAACCUCAGUUCUGUUCCCCAGGAGGGAAACUCCCAGGAUUGGUUGAUGCUGGAGCAGGGGGGAGGCAGCGGGGCCUCGGGGGCAGCCAAGCCUCCAGGAGACUAUGCUCUGGAUGGGAAUAAACUAGAGGUGCAUUCAGAGGCUGAGGUCCAGGACCACCAGCCUCCCUCAGCCCCGAGCAGCCCCGUCCUGUCCCACAUGGCCCUGCCCUGUACCUGGUUACUGGGCGGCAGGAGGCUGCCUGGGAUGCUAGGCCACAUGGGCCGAGCCCAGAUGGAGCAGGUGAGUACGAGCAAGGCUUUGGCAGAAUAAGAAUUGCUCACACAUAUACAUACAGUUGUAUUCUGGGCAUUAAAAUGUAAUUUUUUCAAAAUGUCUUGCUGAAGUAUGGCCCUGACGGUGCAGUUACAUCCAUUAUGAAGGAAAUGUUUCUUACUCCACUGCAGUACAGGUUAACUUUUGAAGAACUGUACACACACCAGAUAUUCACUGACAUGAACAUAGAUCUGUACUUCUCGCUUUUAUCCAAAGCGACUUACUUAAAGUGCAUUCAUCUUAAGAUAGCUAGGUGAGACAACCACAUAUCUCAGUCGUAGUAGGUCAAUCUUUCCUCGAUACAGAAGUUAUCAGCAAAGUCACUGCUAGUAGGAAAAGACAAGUGCAAUUAAAAAAAUGUAUUGGGGGGAUAGAAUAAGACUGAGAUGUCUUAUUUCAGACAUUUUCAGAAGAUGGGCAGGGACUCUGCUGCCUCCUCACCACCUCUCACGUCCAUCUCCCAAUAAUCUCUGGUCUGCCUCUCCACAGUCUGCCAACCCUGUACCACAGUCCCCUGUGAUGGAAAAGAGUGAAGCCAUAUCACUAGAGGCCCUGUCAACCAAACCCAAUGACCCCCGAGAGGUCAAGGUUGACGAGCUGGAGAUUGUCGAGUCAGCCCCCAGCCCUGUGCCAAGCCUCAUUCCAGCCCACCUCGCAAACGACAAAGACCCAGAGAGCGACUCAGGCCUCCCCGACCGUUCCUCCGAACCCAACCAACACCCUCAGAUGGAGAAAGCCGGAAGUGCCGCGGAGAGCACUGGCACCUUCUCCUCCUCCCCUCCCCCACCCACCUUGGUCCUGCUGCGAAGAGAAUCCCCCUCCUCGCCCAGAUUGAGCCGCAUCCCCAUACGAGAUCCAACCACCGUCCCGGAUUCCCCCACUAUGGACCGCCGCCACCGCUGGAGCAGCCCCGUGCCUGGCUCGCCCUCCCACUCGCCCUCGCCAUCGCUCUCCUGCGACAACCUGCUGCCCUGUGGCGUCCGGGAGAGGUUCCUUUCCUGCUCAGACCGCGGCUCACGCUCCGACUGGCUGGGGGAAGACCGUGACUCCCUCUCGCUCUCCUCCUCGGGCAGCAGGAGUAAAAUCCCCCGGCCCGUCAUUCACCCUCUUCCGGGGCUCGAGCAGCAGCAGCUCUCCUCCUCCAGCAGGUUCCUGCCUCGUCCGCCUCCCGGGAAACCGCCCACCCGCCCAGCUGUAGACAACAGUAGGCGCCGACGUUUCCGGGUGCGCGCUAGCAGCACCAGCGACGCCGACUUCCUUGCCAGUCUGACCCAACUGAUGAAUGACCGCGGCGGUGCACUUUUCAGUCCGGCGCCACACCCCCGCAGCUCUUCCUCCUCUCUACAGCGCUCACUCAGCUCCUCCCCCUCACGUCACGAGCUCCGUGAGGGGGGAGGGGUCUUCCUGGGGCGUAGCCGCUCUCCGUCCAGCUUCUCGGGAUCCCCUCCCCCUCCAUGGUACCCCCAGGACAGGCUUAGUGGGUGGCAGGGGAUCCCAUGGGGCGCAGGGCCCGGUGCCAGAGGGAGGGGCCCUAGCCACGAGGGCAAAGGCAGCGGCAAAGUGAGCCGAUAA
rnacentral:lncRNA from 8 species